rnacentral:sRNA from 1 species
AGGCCCUGGGUGUAGAGCACAUCAGGCGGAUCUGUUUCCAGGCCGAGCUUGGUGAUGUCGAUAUCGGGGUCCGACUGGCAACCAGAUAUUGAGGCGCCUGCGCUGAGCACCAGAAGCGAUGCGAACAAAGCGCGCGCUGUCUUCAUCAUACCUUCAGAUCCUGCAUAAGCCAUUCGAAAGAACCCCACUGCCGCCGCUCGCUCCACGGCAGCUACGCCUCGCUGGCGUUUCUAGCCACAAAUGUGCAUCGA